rnacentral:tRNA from 1 species
GCGAUUGUGGCGAAGUGGUUAACGCACCGGAUUGUGGUUCCAGCAUUCGUGGGUUCGAUUCCCAUCAGUCGCCCCA